rnacentral:tRNA from 1 species
CCCGUGAUAGCUCAGUUGGUAGAGCGGAGGACUGUAGAUCCUUAGGUCGCUGGUUCAAAUCCGCCUCGCGGGA